rnacentral:lncRNA from 1 species
ACAGGAGGUCAUAGUUGAGUAGAGAUUUCAGUUAAUCAGCCAAGCAAACAAUUAGAACAUCUGUCUGUGUAUUGAACCAGCAGAUUGUAAUCAUAAUCCCUGCAGUGGCAGGAGUGCGAAGGCCAGCUAAAAAACCACACACCAUAUACCAUGUGCUGUGGUAAUGUGUUUAACUUCCUGUUAAUACACAUGGGGAUAUAGCAGAGGAUGGACACAGGGCCUGUGUAACAUAGGAACUCAGCCCCUGGAAGAUGAGGUAGAUUCUCCACAUUGCCAGAGUGGACAUUGUUGCUGUUCCACUGUGUGAUUCCACUACCCAAUCUCUUAUCCAGUCAACAAUGGGGUUAUUCUGACUGUGAACAUUUGAAUACGUUUGUAAAACAGAGGGAAGUAUUUCUUUCACUGACUACA